rnacentral:sRNA from 1 species
UUGUACGAGUGGUACAUGAGGAUUCCGAGCACCGGCCGCGCCCACCUGGCGGCUGCGCAGUAGUUUUGUUAGCC